CCCUUAGAUGUCCUGGGCCGCACGCGCGUUACACUGAUGCAUUCAACGAGCUUAUAACCUUGGCCGAGAGGCCUGGGCAAUCUUGUUAACGUGCAUCGUGAUAGGGAUAGAUUAUUGAAAUUAUUAAUCUUGAACGAGGAAUUCCUAGUAAACGCAGAUCAUCAAUCUGCAUUGAUUACGUCCCUGCCCUUUGUACACACCGCCCGUCGCUACUACCGAUUGAAUGGCUUAGUGAGCCUUUGGGAUUGGCAGCUUGUACCGGCAACGGUAGCAGGCCGCUGAAAACUUAGGCAAACUUGGUCAUUUAGAGGAAGUAAAAGUCGUAACA
rnacentral:rRNA from 1 species